AGUGAACGCUGGCGGCGUGCUUAACACAUGCAAGUCGAACGCGAAAUCCGCCGCAAGGCGGAAAGUAGAGUGGCGAACGGGUGAGUAACAGUGUGGGUAAUUUGCCUUUUUGAGUGGGAUAACCCGGCGAAAGCUGGGCUAAUACCGCAUACGAUUUACUUGAUUAAGGUCGAGUAAAUGAAAACAUGGCCUCUAUUUAUAAGCUAUGGCAGAAAGAUGAGCCCACAUCCUAUCACGCUUGUUGGUGAGGUAACGGCUCACAAAGGCGACGACGGGUAGCCGGCCUGAGAGGGUGUCCGGCCACACUGGAACUGAGACACGGUCCAGACUCCUACGGGAGGCAGCAGUGGGGAAUUUUUCGCAAUGGGCGCAAGCCUGACGAAGCAACGCCGCGUGUGUGAUGAAGGUCUUCGGAUCGUAAAGCACUUUCGACUGGGACGAAAAACCUUUGGCUAACAUCCAGGGGCCUGACGGUACCAGGAGGAGAAGCACCGGCUAACUCUGUGCCAGCCGCCGCAGUAAUAC
rnacentral:rRNA from 1 species